rnacentral:rRNA from 1 species
CAAUAGCGUAUAUUAAAGUUGUUGCAGUUAAAAAGCUCGUAGUUGGAUUUGUGGCGUACGGUGUGUUCCGGGCACUUGUUGUCUGAGUAACCUGCUGUUGCCAUCCUUGGGUGGAACCUGUGUGGCAUUAGGUUGUCGUGCAGGGGAUGCCCAUCAUUUACUGUGAAAGAAUUAGAGUGUUCAAAGCAGGCUUAUGCCGUUGAAUAUAUUAGCAUGGAAUAAUGAGAUAGGACUUUUUUGCUAUUUUGUUGGUUUGCGCAAAGAGGUAAUGAUUAAUAGGGACAGUUGGGGGUAUUCGUAUUCCAUUGUCAGAGGUGAAAUUCUUGGAUUUUUGGAAGACGAACUACUGCGAAAGCAUUUACCAAGGAUGUUUUCAUUAA